rnacentral:lncRNA from 1 species
GAAAUGUGGGAAAGAAUGAAGAGCAGCAGUAAAAGAAAUACCUAGCGAAAAAAACAGGAAGCAUAUUGAAGCUCGGACUAGAAUUUCUUCUUGGUAUCAGAGAGACAAGUUUAUCACAGUAUUUUUUUUUUUCCUGCUGACCUAUUGAUAAUACCAACAAUGUUGAGUGGCAUUUUCUUCUUAGUUUUUAAUUUCUUAAAGAAAAUAUACUCCAUAUCUGCAGGGAAAAAAAUAAAAAUCCACACCUGAGAACAGAUCCAUACAACCUGCUUACAAAGAACAGCUCCUGUGCUACCUGAGGCUGAUUUAUUUGAAGAACAAAAGGAAGAGAGACAAUUUAGUGUAGACAAGUGCUAUUCAAUAGAACUUUUUGCAGCAGUGGAAAUAUCCAUAAAUCUGCAGUAUCCAACCAAACUAGCCACAGACAGCUGCUGAGCAAUUGAAAUGAAGCUGGCACAACUAAGGAACUGAAGUUCUUAUUUUAAUUCAACUUCAAAUGGUCACAUGUCACUAGUGACUACCACACUGGACAGUGCAGGUGUAGACGGAGUUCAGAUCAGACUCCUGAAACUUAAUGGCUCUAACCUUAGGCAAGUUACGUUAACAUCUAAGCCUCAAUCCCUCCAAGUAGAAUGGGUGCACCUAAAUCAUAGGGUUGUCCUGUUGUCCUGAGCAACAUUAUGUAAAGCACUUAGCCCAGAGCCUAGCACAUAGUUAUCUAGAGUUGGGAACGUCACUCCUGGUGUGCAUGUCCAGACCCUACCCGGGAGAAGGGCCUAACCUAUGACUUUAGAACCCUCAGUUGCAGGUGUGCAUGUUCCAGCCAACACUCCACUCUGAGUGCAGGCUCAUCAGGACACCAUAUGGUUGUAAACUGGCUGCCAUGUCCCAAUCCUUCCAGCUCUUGAGGGUCAGUUCUCACCUUAUGAACAAAUUAACAGGCUCUGGACCUAUAAGAUCAAGGACCACUGCGCCCCCUGGCCACCCCACCGCCCCCCCCCAACUUUGAUCUGAUUGACUUUGGCUUCCACCUACUGUUUAAAAUGUGUAUGUUGGGGGAGUAGGGACAGCACGGGGGAGGGGUUUACUUUCCUGACUCUAGCCCAGGACAUUUGGUGUUUUUGAAUAGGCACCAUUCAGCCUUGCUUCAGUAUUAGGAAUAAGAUACUUUUUAUUCCAUCCUCUAUGGAGACAAAAAGCUGCUCCUCCUUUGAGUACUGACCUACAUAGAUUUCCAUUUCUCUCUUCAGCCUCAGGCCAAACAAACAACCGGACAGGGCAGCAGAACAAGGCUGUCUCCUCAGGAUCCUGCCAAAGGCACUGUCCUCUCCAACCUGGACCCAGCCCCACUUGCCCUUAUUGGUUGCUUACACCCAGAGUGCACACUCACAGGAAAGGGCCUCUGCUGGCUGCAGCCCUCAACAUCAUCAUCAUAAAUCUCUCCAGCAGAAUGCUGGAGGCCUCCCUCUUCUGAACCUCUACAUGCUGCUGGCUGGCAUCAAGCAGAGGUCAUCACUGGGUGCUGAACAGGUCAGCUCCCUAGGGCAAUGUGAGCAAAGUGUUGUGGCUCAUCCUCGAUCCUUUAUGCCCUUUUGGCAAGAUUCCUUUCUCUUCUCAGUCACAGCAGAUGGACACAUAAUCUUGUUCUCCCAGGGGCUGCAUUCUCAGUAGUCUUUUCCCUGCUCCUUGGGCGCCUGGUCAGGGAGGUUUGUACAAGCCUGCGCACACACAGCAGUCUGUCACGAGGCUGGGCCAACCUUUUUUUUUUUUUUAAACAGACUCUUGCUCUGUCAUUCAGGCUGGAGUGCAGUGGUGCAAUCUCAGCUCACUGCAACCUCUGCUUCCCGGGUUCACAAGCAAUUCUCAUGCCUCAGCCUCCCAAGUGGCUAAGACUUAACAAACAGGCACACACCAUCACUCGCAGCUAAGUUUUUGUAUUUUUAGUAGAGACCACGUUUCGCCAUGUUGUCCAGACUGGUCUCAAACUCCUGGCCUCGAGUCAUCCACGCACCUCAGCCUCCCAAAGUGCUGGGAUUACAGGCGUGAGCCAUGGCGCCCAGCCUGGGCCAACCUUUUCUGAGCCAUAGUCCAGCUGUACUACAGCUGUAUCCAAAAGGUACCAUGUAUCUCCCAGGGUAACCUGAAGACCUAACUGGGCAUACUAACUGUCCUCAGAUUUCAGUUCUUUAAGGCCCAUCUCUUCUAGAUCAGUGUAAAUAUCUGAACUCACUUGGUGCUUCAACCCAAUUGGUCUUGGGAUUCAUCCUUUACCUACCCAGCUCUCAUUCUCUUCUAGGUUGUUCCAUGGCCUCUUCCAUAUAUUACAUUUGUGGUCUUGAGCAAGUUAGUUAGUUACAACAACACUGAGCAUCUUGACCAAGGUCACUUGGCCCAACCACAGGCUAAUCCCAGGCCAUGUGCACAUCCCAGGAUUAGCUUGUGGUUUAUCAGUUGUCAAUUUUUUUUUUUUUUUAAUACAGGGUCUCACUCUGUCACCCUGGCUGGAGUGCGGUGGCGAUCAGAGCUCACUGCAGCUUCAAUCUCCUGGCUCAAGUGAUCCUCCCACCUCAGCCUUCCAAGUAGUUGGGACUACCCACAUGCACCACCAUGCACGGCUAAUUUUUUGGUUUUUUUGGGUUUUUUGUUUGUGU